rnacentral:rRNA from 1 species
CCUACGGGAGGCAGCAGUGGGGAAUAUUGGACAAUGGGGGGAACCCUGAUCCAGCCAUGCCGCGUGUGUGAAGAAGGCCCUCGGGUUGUAAAGCACUUUCAGUGAGGAAGAACGCCUGGUGGUUAAUACCCAUCAGGAAAGACAUCACUCACAGAAGAAGCACCGGCUAACUCCGUGCCAGCAGCCGCGGUAAUACGGAGGGUGCGAGCGUUAAUCGGAAUUACUGGGCGUAAAGCGCGCGUAGGUGGCUUGAUAAGCCGGUUGUGAAAGCCCCGGGCUCAACCUGGGAACGGCAUUCGGAACUGUCAAGCUAGAGUGCAGGAGAGGAAGGUAGAAUUCCCGGUGUAGCGGUGAAAUGCGUAGAGAUCGGGAGGAAUACCAGUGGCGAAGGCGGCCUUCUGGACUGACACUGACACUGAGGUGCGAAAGCGUGGGUAGCAAACAGGAUUAGAUACCCUAGUAGUC